AGGACACCAACAUGUUUGUUAGUGCUGGUAAAAGUGAAGUCCCCAUGUAGAGAAUCCUUUGCAGAAUAUUGGACAAUGACUGGCACUUAGCACCACUAGAUCCUUUGUCUGGAUUGGAUCUCCAUAUGCAUGCAUGUGAAGAGAAUUCUAUGAGGAAUACUGCAGGGUGACUAGAAAUUGGUCCCACCUGAAACUCUGUCUGGCUAGGAUCUCAGUGUAUGUGUGUGUGUUAAUCUUCAAGGGUGAGAGUAGAUGAACCAAGUAAACGUUCCUGAAUGGAUAUUUGAUGGCAUAAGGAGCAGUGUCGUCACUUUUGGUUGCAACGACCUAAACCCUUCACUUCCUGCUAGAAGCCAUCUUACCACCACCACAACAUCAUGUUAGUCAAGAGACUCAUGUCAGUUUCAGAAUCUUAAAAAGCGACAGCCAAUAUUGGUGACAAGCAAAGAACAAAACUUUGUUGGAUGCCGUUCCUUGGAGGCCUAUAUUCAGAUCAACACUGUUAUGAGACACAAUAUGUCCGUGAAGACUGUAAUGAGUGUUGAAUGACUACGAGAUGAAUGACUGCACGAAGACCUGGUCAGGUAAAGCAAAUGGUCAAAACCGAGAGAUUAAAAAUAGGCUACCAGAAUCAAAGGACAAGAUCAUAAUCAGAAGUUGCUGGCAAAGCAGAAGUCCAAAUCCACUAUGCAUUCCUAAUUCUAUGGUCUACUUGAAAAAUAAAUAAUCUAAUAAAGAUUCUAGACGAUUGAUUUUAUCUCUCCGCCAUAUUUUUAUUGUUGCUAAGGUGAGAACACUCCAAACAGGGUUGCAUAAGCUAGUCAUUAAAAAUGCAUCAAAAAUAAAAUCCUCAUAUGUCAAAACACAAAAAUAGACAAAUAACACUACACACAAUCACACCACUUUAGAGUCACCAGUAAAGUUAAACAUCAUUGGGACCUGAAAAGAGAAUUAGGAGUACCUGGGGAAAUAGCCAAUGAAACACGGGUAGGACAUGCCAACUCCAAACAUACAAUAAGAUGCUGCAGAUGUUCUAUCAGAUGGUUGUGGCGAGCGCCCUCUUCUACGCGGUGGUGUGCUGGGGAGGCGGCAUUAAGAAGAAGGACGCCUCAUGCCAGGACAAACUGGUGAGGAUGGCAGGCUCUAUUGUAGGCAUGGAGCUGGACAGUUUGACAUCCGUGGCAGAGCGACGGGCACUGAGCAGACUCCUGUCAAACAUGGAGAAUCCACUGCAUCCACUGAACAGUAUCAUCUCCAGACAGAGGAGCAGCUUCAGCGACAGACUGCUGUCACUGUUCUGCUCCACUGACAGACUGAGGAGAUCGUUCCUCCCCCAAACUAUGCGACUCAAUUCCACCUGGGGGGGGGGGGGGGGGUAAACGUUAACAUUAUACAAAGUUAUUGUCUGUUUUUACCUGCAUUUUUAUUACUCUUUAAUAUUGUUUUUUGUAUCAGUAUGCUGCUGCUGGAGUAUGUGAAUUUCACCUUGGGAUUAAUAAAGUAUCUAUCUAUCUAUCUA